AUGCAUGUGUGGCUGUGUGACUUGCCUUCGUGCCAAUGUUGUUGCAAAGAGUUGAUCAUCUCAACUGGCUGUGCUUUUUUCUGGCAAGUGGACAAGAGGAUACUGGAUAUCCGAAGAACAUGCCACCAGAACGAAAGCAUUCGCACCACAAGAAAGCUGUGGGUAACAAAAGUUGUCGUAGACAGACUGAAGACCAUAAAAAAUCAUCACAUUUUCAACUAUGAAAAAUUCUCUUCUCUUCGCAUACACCACAAGAUUUGCAUCCUCAAAACCAACCUAAAAUAUACAUUAAAUAUUAUAUUUUUCCCGCCUAACUAUAAUCUUAACUUGUUACUUCAAUCCUUUCAAUCCCAGCUCAUCCUUCUGCAUACCUUUUGA
rnacentral:rRNA from 1 species